CCUACGGGAGGCAGCAGUGGGGAAUAUUGCGCAAUGGGCGAAAGCCUGACGCAGCGACGCCGCGUGAGGGAUGAAGGUCUUCGGAUCGUAAACCUCUGUCAGCAGGGAAGAGCGGUCACUGUGCUAAUCAGCAGUGAAUUGACGGUACCUGCAAAGGAAGGACCGGCUAACUCCGUGCCAGCAGCCGCGGUAAUACGGAGGGGGCGAGCGUUAGUCGGAAUUACUGGGCGUAAAGCGCUCGUAGGCGGUAUGUCAAGUCAAGGGUGAAAUCCCCGCGCUCAACGUGGGAACUGCCUUUGAAACUGGCAGACUGGAGUGUGGGAGAGGGUAGUGGAAUUCCUGGUGUAGCGGUGAAAUCCGUAGAUAUCUGGAAGAACAUCAGUGGCGAAGGCGGCUGUCUGGCACAUAACUGACGCUGAGGAGCGAAAGCGUGGGUAGCAAACAGGAUUAGAUACCCUGGUAGUC
rnacentral:rRNA from 1 species